GUUAAUACAUGCAAGUCGAGCGAAUCAAUAGGAGCUUGCUCCUUGAGAUUAGCGGCGGACGGGUGAGUAACACGUGGGCAACCUGCCCUGCAGAUGGGGAUAACUCCGGGAAACCGGGGCUAAUACCGAAUAAUCAAUUCCUUCGCAUGAAGGAAUUCUGAAAGACGGUUUCGGCUGUCACUGCAGGAUGGGCCCGCGGCGCAUUAGCUAGUUGGUGGGGUAAUGGCCUACCAAGGCACGAUGCGUAGCCCGACCUGAAGAGGGGUGAUCGGCCNCACUGGGACUUGA
rnacentral:rRNA from 1 species